rnacentral:rRNA from 1 species
CCUACGGGGGGCAGCAGUGGGGAAUAUUGGACAAUGGGGGCAACCCUGAUCCAGCCAUGCCGCGUGUGUGAAGAAGGCCCUCGGGUUGUAAAGCACUUUCAGUGAGGAAGAACGCCUGGUUGUGAAUACCCAUCAGGAAAGACAUCACUCACAGAAGAAGCACCGGCUAACUCCGUGCCAGCAGCCGCGGUAAUACGGAGGGUGCGAGCGUUAAUCGGAAUUACUGGGCGUAAAGCGCGCGUAGGUGGCUUGAUAAGCCGGUUGUGAAAGCCCCGGGCUCAACCUGGGCACGGCAUCCGAAACUGUCAAGCUAGAGUGCAGAAGAGGAAGGUAGAAUUCCCGGUGUAGCGGUGAAAUGCGUAGAGAUCGGGAGGAAUACCAGUGGCGAAGGCGGCCUUCUGGACUGAAACUGACACUGAGGCGCGAAAGCGUGGGUAGCAAACAGGAUUAGAUACCCUAGUAGUC